rnacentral:rRNA from 1 species
GACGAACGCUGGCGGCGUGCCUAAUACAUGCAAGUCGAGCGGACAGAUGGGAGCUUGCUCCCGGAAGUCAGCGGCGGACGGGUGAGUAACACGUGGGCAACCUGCCUGUAAGACUGGGAUAACUUCGGGAAACCGGAGCUAAUACCGGAUACGUUCUUUUCUCGCAUGAGAGAAGAUGGAAAGUUGGUUUCGGCUAUCACUUACAGAUGGGCCGGCGGCGCAUUAGCUAGUUGGUGAGGUAAUGGCUCACCAAGGCAACGAUGCGUAGCCGACCUGAGAGGGUGAUCGGCCACACUGGGACUGAGACACGGCCCAGACUCCUACGGGAGGCAGCAGUAGGGAAUCUUCCGCAAUGGACGAAAGUCUGACGGAGCAACGCCGCGUGAACGAUGAAGGCCUUCGGGUCGUAAAGUUCUGUUGUUAGGGAAGAACAAGUACCAGAGUAACUGCUGGUACCUUGACGGUACCUAACCAGAAAGCCACGGCUAACUACGUGCCAGCCGCCGCAGUAA